rnacentral:rRNA from 1 species
GUCGAACGAAGAGCGAUGGAAGCUUGCUUCUAUCAAUCUUAGUGGCGAACGGGUGAGUAACGCGUAAUCAACCUGCCCUUCAGAGGGGGACAACAGUUGGAAACGACUGCUAAUACCGCAUACGAUCUAACCUUGGCAUCGAGGAUGGAUGAAAGGUGGCCUCUAUUUAUAAGCUAUCACUGAAGGAGGGGAUUGCGUCUGAUUAGCUAGUUGGAGGGGUAACGGCCCACCAAGGCGAUGAUCAGUAGCCGGUCUGAGAGGAUGAACGGCCACAUUGGGACUGAGACACGGCCCAGACUCCUACGGGAGGCAGCAGUGGGGAAUCUUCCGCAAUGGACGAAAGUCUGACGGAGCAACGCCGCGUGAGUGAUGACGGCCUUCGGGUUGUAAAGCUCUGUUAAUCGGGACGAAAGGCCUUCUUGCGAAUAGUGAGAAGGAUUGACGGUACCGGAAUAGAAAGCCACGGCUAACUACGUGCCAGCAGCCGCGGUAAUACGUAGGUGGCAAGCGUUGUCCGGAAUUAUUGGGCGUAAAGCGCGCGCAGGCGGUUUGUUAAGUCAGAUGUGAAAUCCCCGGGCUCAACCUGGGAACUGCAUCUGAUACUGGCAAGCUUGAGUCUCGUAGAGGGGGGUAGAAUUCCAGGUGUAGCGGUGAAAUGCGUAGAGAUCUGGAGGAAUACCGGUGGCGAAGGCGGCCCCCU